rnacentral:lncRNA from 1 species
CCCCCCAAUCACUACCAGUCUCCCUGGACCUCCCCCCAUUCAAAAUUGACUCUGCGCCUAAGGAUAGUAGAAGAUGAUUAAUUUCUAAAAAGUGUCUUGUUUUCUUUCCAAUUAUUAAAAAUUGUGAAUUACUAAAAACUAAAAUUAAUUCUGGAUGCUUAAAUCACAAUAGUCCAUAAUAUGUUAAAAAGUGCUGAAUAACUGAAAUGUCCAAUUCAUAGAAACGCAAGUUUAUUCGAAAUUAUCCUGUAUUGGUCCAAUACUAUGAAGGUCAGCCUGGAUACUGGUAACCAUAAUAUUCCAAUCAAAUACCAGAAACAAGUGCCUGAAAAUAUAAAACAAAAACAGCAGCAACUAUUCUCAUAGGGAGGGUGGGCGGGUUUUAAAUAGUUUAACUUAUUUGUGAAACACCUGCUUUCAAGUCGACAGCAAAUUAACAAGUGCCCGAUACGGGAAUUCCAAAAUUCUAAUUCAAGCUGAUACGGAAAUUCCAAAAAUCUGAUUCAAGCUGCGAGCGCCAUCUAUGGCCAUGCCGAAUAUGGCAUUGAGAUACAGACUGCAACAACCACGCACCCACACAAAUAUUCGAUUGAAUUAAACCUGAUUAUUGAAAAUAUAAAAUUUCCAGUUUGUGACAAAUUAGUUCCAUUUGUUCUGUAUAAAGACACUUCACGCCUUAAUGUUCUCAUGUAAUAUAGCUUUACCCCAAUUUUCUGUAACAAAGUUUUUGGCCACUAAAUUUCUCUUUUUCUGUUCUGUUCUAUUAUUGCACCCGCAUCCAAGGGUGCAACAUGUCAGUAUCGCACUGUAGCAUUGAAGACCAUAUUAUAAUAACCUUUUUAAAUAAAGCCUGGUAACAUAGGGUAGACCAUUUUUACAUUUUCAAUUAAACCAUUCCCUGUCAAUUCUAAAUCUGUCAAAUCAUUAGCUCCACAGAGAAUAAUAAUAAAAUGAAGAGAUGGUAAAAAACAAAUAUUCUUUUUGCAUCCAUUAGGGAGUCCAAAUCUUAAAGAGACUAUAGAGACAAUAACAAGUGGAAACAAGGAACUAUCGUUCAUAAACUCGGAACAGUAACUUAUCAAGUCCAAUUUGGAGAUUUAGUAUGAAAGAGACAUAUUGAUCAGAUUCGUGAAUUCGUACCGCAGGAAAAUAAAAACAUACCAAACAUAUUUAAAAUUACCAUAUCUGAUAUUGACACUGAAUUCAUAACAAUACCAACAUGUAAUUCAAUUGCGAUACCGAAAACUCUGAAAAUAACAAUGAAUCCGAACAAACUAAAAUAACCAAAAAUAAAACAGUUGAAAAUGCUAAUGAUACUAUCCUUAUGCACCGCACAGAAAUAGUAAGAAAGGCACCAGAGAGAC